GCGCUAUCAGAUGAGCCUAGGUCGGAUUAGCUAGUUGGUGAGGUAAUGGCUCACCAAGGCGACGAUCCGUAACUGGUCUGAGAGGAUGAUCAGUCACACUGGAACUGAGACACGGUCCAGACUCCUACGGGAGGCAGCAGUGGGGAAUAUUGGACAAUGGGCGAAAGCCUGAUCCAGCCAAGGCGCGUGUGUGAAGAAGGUCUUCGGAUUGUAAAGCAUAUGGAGUGGGAGGAAGGGCAGUUACCUAAUACGUGA
rnacentral:rRNA from 1 species